AACGAACGCUGGCGGCAUGCUUAACACAUGCAAGUCGAACGAGACCUUCGGUCUAGUGGCGCACGGGUGCGUAACGCGUGGGAAUCUGCCCUUAGGUACGGAAUAACUCAGAGAAAUUUGUGCUAAUACCGUAUGAUGUCGAAAGACCAAAGAUUUAUCGCCUAAGGAUGAGCCCGCGUAAGAUUAGCUUGUUGGUGAGGUAAAAGCUCACCAAGGCGACGAUCUUUAGCUGGUCUGAGAGGAUGACCAGCCACACUGGGACUGAGACACGGCCCAGACU
rnacentral:rRNA from 1 species